rnacentral:rRNA from 1 species
AACGAACGCUGGCGGCAUGCCUAACACAUGCAAGUCGAACGAGACCUUCGGGUCUAGUGGCGCACGGGUGCGUAACGCGUGGGAACCUGCCCUUAGGUUCGGAAUAACUCCCCGAAAGGGGUGCUAAUACCGGAUAAUGUCUUCGGACCAAAGAUUUAUCGCCUUUGGAUGGGCCCGCGUUGGAUUAGCUAGUUGGGAGGGUAAAAGCCUACCAAGGCGACGUUCCAUAGCUGGUCUGAGAGGAUGAUCAGCCACACUGGGACUGAGACACGGCCCAGACUCCGACGGGAGGCAGCAGUGGGGAAUAUUGGACAAUGGGCGAAAGCCUGAUCCAGCAAUGCCGCGUGAGUGAUGAAGGCCUUAGGGUUGUAAAGCUCUUUUACCCGGGAUGAUAAUGACAGUACCGGGAGAAUAAGCUCCGGCUAACUCCGUG